rnacentral:rRNA from 1 species
GACGAACGCUGGCGGCGUGCUUAACACAUGCAAGUCGAACGGAAAGGCCCUGCUUUUGUGGGGUGCUCGAGUGGCGAACGGGUGAGUAACACGUGAGUAACCUGUCCUUGACUUUGUGAUAACUUCCGGAAAAUGGGGCUAAUACCGGAUAGGAGCUCCUGCUGCAUGGUGGGGGUUGGAAAGUUUCGGCGGUAGGAGAUGGACUCGCGGCUUAUCAGCUUGUUGGUGGGGUAGUGGCUUACCAAGGCUUUGACGGGUAGCCGGCCUGAGAGGGUGACCGGCCACAUUGGGACUGAGAUACGGCCCAGACUCCUACGGGAGGCAGCAGUGGGGAAUAUUGCACAAUGGGCGGAAGCCUGAUGCAGCAACGCCGCGUGCGGGAUGACGGCCUUCGGGUUGUAAACCGCUUUCGCCUGUGACGAAGCGUGAGUGACGGUAAUGGGUAAAGAAGCACCGGCUAACUACGUG